UUUCUGAAUGAGAGGUUCAGGCGAGGAUUGGAAACCUCACAGCCCCAGUCAUGGACCAUGUAGAGUGUUCCUCACACAAAGCAGUUUGAUAGCAUUUCAUGUGGUGUAUAUGUUAUUCAGUUUGUGGAGAACUACUUGACGGGGAAGCCCCUACAAUUUUCCUGGACAAGGAAUGACGUGGAGGAAAAGAGAAAACAGAUCGCAUUGUCAUUGACUGCUUUCAGCUGUAGGCAAGGCUCGAUGGUUACAGGGGUCAGGCAGGUCCGCAUAGUCAUUCCCACCCAAG